rnacentral:rRNA from 1 species
AAUGAACGUUGGCGGCGUGGAUUAGGCAUGCAAGUCGAGCGAGAACCCAGCAAUGGGGGACAGCGGCGUAAGGGACAGUAAUGUGUAGAUUAUCUGCCCUCGGGACCGGGAUAGCUGCGGGAAACUGCAGGUAAUACCGGAUAACAUCUCCGGAUCAAAGGUGUGAUUCCGCCCGAGGAUGAGUCUGCAUCCUAUUAGCUAGUUGGCAGGGUAAUGGCCUACCAAGGCUUUGAUGGGUAGCGGGGGUGAGAGCACGACCCGCGUCAUUGGGACUGAGACACUGCCCAGACACCUACGGGUGGUUGCAGUCGAGAAUCUUCGGCAAUGGGCGCAAGCCUGACCGAGCGACGCCGCGUGUGGGAUGAAGGCCUUCGGGUUGUAAACCACUGUUAGAGGGGAUGAAAUGCAGGUGGGUUCUCCCAUCUGUUUGACAUAGCCUCAGAGGAAGGACGGGCUAAGUUCGUGCCAGCAGCCGCCGUAAAAC